ACCUGUAAGAGACGAUUUAUCGGUUUUGUUUAGUUUAAGUAAAAAAAAAGUGUGUGAAAUCAUUCUUGUCGGUGACGAACUAUCGUUUUCGAUAAAGAAUGAAUAAUUUGGUAGUCUGAAAUAAAUCUUUGUUCGAAUAAGUUGUCGCUUUUAAUUUUUUAGUUUACAGUUCAGGUGCGGGAUAUUCUACGUGCUAUAAUAUAUCGCUUUGGCCGUUUAUGUUAUUGUUGUUUCUUGCGGUGCAGUUUGAACGUAAUAUUUCUAUGCAGAUAAUUUUUUUGUCUGGGUGACUAAUUAAAGUGUUUCGUUAAAAAAAUAAUACGGGAGAGUGUACAAUAAUUUAAGUGAUACGAAAGUGUUCUUUGUUUAGUUUAAAUAUAAGGUUUAAACUAUAAAAAGAGAUAUACGGUCUGGACUUCUUCAGCUGGUGUUUAUUUUGGACAAUCACGACGCAGGAAGUUUUUUUAAUUUAAAUAUACGGUUUAAAUUAAUCAGUUUCUGGUUUAAAUACAAGGUUUAACCUGUAAAUUUGGAAACUAUUUAUAAAAGUGAUGCGUUUCUUUUGUUUAGUUUGAAUAUAACUAAGGUUUGAACUAGAUAUUUAUUUCUUUGUUAAUUUAAAAAUACGCUUUGAAUUAUUAAGUUAUAGUUUAAAUAAAAGGUUUAAGGCUAUGACUUUAGUGAGUUAUACCUACAUUAUAUUGCAUAGGUAUUUUGUUGUCUAGAUACACGGUCUGGACUUGAUGCUUAUUUUGGAAAAUGGCGACGCAGUAAGUUUUUAAUUUAAAUAUAUCUACGGUUUAAAUUAAUCAGCUUUUGGUUUAAAUACAAGGUUUAAUCUCUAAAUUUGGAGACUAUAAGUGAUAAGUAUUUUCUUGUUUAGUUUAAAUAUAAGGUUUGGGCUAGAUAUUUAUUUAAUUGUUAAUUUAAAAAUUCGUUUUUAAUUAACUAAGUUGUAGUUUAGAUAAGAGGUCUAAGCUAUAACUUUAGACAUUAGUAGGUACAUAUUGUGUUGACUAUAUACAAUAGUGCGUGUUAAUCCUGAUAGAUUGAACAUAGCUUAAAUAUACGGUUUAAACUAUUAACUUAUAAGAUAGAGUAAAUAUAUAAGGUAGAUCCUGAAGUAGAUAGAAAAGGUCCUAUUCAUCAAGUAGUAGGGAAAGUUCUCGUGAUAGAUAUAGAUAUCACAACACGCCAAUUGUUUCAAAUUGAAGCCAGGCACCUUCAAGACGACUGAGAGUAAACGUCACUGAUUCUUCUAAGUCUUCUCGAGGACGCGAAGAUGUCAGGUUUGGCCGACUGUAACAGAUUAAUACUCACGACGGACCUGUAAGAGACGAUUUAUCGGUUUUGUUUAGUUUAAGUAAAAAAAAAGUGUGUGAAAUCAUUCUUGUCGGUGACGAACUAUCGUUUUCGAUAAAGAAUGAAUAAUUUGGUAGUCUGAAAUAAAUCUUUGUUCGAAUAA
rnacentral:lncRNA from 1 species